UGGGGGAUAUUGCACAAUGGGGGGAACCCUGAUGCAGCGACGCCGCGUGGGUGAAGGAGCGUUUCGGCGCGUAAAGCCCUAUCGGCAGGGAAGAAGGAGGACGGUACCUGACUAAGAAGCCCCGGCUAACUACGUGCCAGCAGCCGCGGUAAUACGUAGGGGGCAAGCGUUAUCCGGAUUUACUGGGUGUAAAGGGGGCGCAGACGGCAGCGCAAGCCAGGAGUGAAAGCCCGGGGCCCAACCCCGGGACUGCUCUUGGAACUGCGCGGCUGGAGUGCAGGAGGGGCAGGCGGAAUUCCUGGU
rnacentral:rRNA from 1 species